CGUUACAGGCAUGGCUAUCUGCGAUAAUCCAGAAAUGUCACCACAAGCAGCGUCACCGUUGGUCACUUGUAGAACAACACAUGUCGCUGUGAAGCUGCCUCGUGAAACCAAACUGAGGAAGGUGAAAGAGCUCGAUUUUUUCACCAGCGAAGGAUACUCAGUGAGACAACAGAAGACCUCCAGUGCAUUAAUUGUGGAUAUAUCUAAGUUACCAGACAGAGAUUCAGCAUUUGAACUGGUUUAUACUGACACUGCUGGGAGA